CAGUGUCACUUAGGUUCAACAAAUCCUCCUUCAUCCCCAAGCUCAAUGAAGUUCGUAGUUUUCUUCCCAACGGUAACAAUGUGGUCGACAGUAAAUAGUUCAUCUGCGGUUCGUCCGAGCUUCGUCUUGUUCGUUCUUCAUCUGAGCUCACACUCACCCAGCGACGACUGAGGUUUGUCCCCGAUGUUGUCUGCCUCGAUCCCUCUCUGUCGCGAGAAAAGCAAAUCUCGAGACCUAACUCGUGCGAACGAGGUUCACGAAACAGAAUCCUCUUCACAGACUAUAAAAAAACGCAUAUGGAAUUGAGUUUUUUUUUUUUUUUCAAAAAAGCGAUUAAUAUAGGGUUUUACAUUGAUAGUUUUUGAAUAGUUUAGGGUCAAGUAAGGAAUUGGGCACACACCCUUCUUUUUGAGAAUGACAAUGCAGGAAGCGGACUGCAAGCAACAAAAUACAUAUUGUCCCCUUAUUUUCUUCACUUCAAUUUCAGAUUUUGCUUCCUUCACUGUAGUGUUGUUUCUCGAGCCCAAAGUUCCCAAUUCCUUUCUUCGUUUCGUUUCCUUGAAUAUUCACGCCGCCGCUUCUUCCCAAUCCAGCACUCACCCCAACUGAGGAGGGUUCCGGCUGGGUGUUUUUGUGAGUGAGCUUGCCGACUGCAAAACUCGUCAUCGAAUCCAAACUGCCAAAUGACGAACUCGUGUCCAACAAGGACACAACCUCUAAAGAAAGGUUAAGGUGCGAGGAGGCAAUGACGUCAACACCACCAAGCAUCUCUGGUUUGGUGCUAUUGCUGCUAUGAUGUCUAGGGCCUUGUGAGGUUGACGCCUCAUCAUCCUUGUCGAGCUCGAGCUUCUGCUGGAGGAGGGACUAGAGAGCGGCGACAGCAGAAGGGAUUAGGGUUUACACAUAGUGGAUUGAGCAGAGAGUAUAUUUAAUUUUUUUUUUUAUUUCUGAUAUGCAAUAGGCCUUGGUUUGAUACAAACCGAGACAGUAACAACUUAAUAUGCUUUGGGUUCAUAACCGAGACAUAAAGAACUAGCUUUUUACCUCGGCAGUAUAUGUCUCGGUUGUUCACCGAAGUCAAAAGGUGAAAAUAACCACUUUCAUUUUCCUUUCCUAUACUAGUGAUUAGAGAUGGAAUUUGUCUUUGUAAGUUAUGUUUUUAUUCUAGUUAGUUUGAUUUGUGCCUUUUACUGGAGUCUUGAAGACAUAAUUAAUGGAAAGUCAUUGAUGCUUGGUUAAGGAUUAUUGGUUGUUGUUUCAGUUUGGGUUUUUGUUGAUGGUUCUUGGUUCUAAUUUGCUAGACAGGAUAAUAUUAUGUCUUGGGUUGCCUCAUAUGUCAAAUAAAUUAUUCUUUGUGCCUCUUACAGGAGUCUUGAAGACCUUGAUUUCUAUUCUCAUUAAGUGACUUUCGGAUUUUUAUUUUACUUUCAGAGGUUUUAAUUACUUUGGUUUACGUGGUUCGGAUCCUUGUAUUGAUCUUUUUGCAUGCUUUGCUGCAGGAGGAACUUCAAUUUUUUGUACCUACCCGUUGGAUCUUGCUCGUACCCAACUUGCCUACCAGGUGGUCACUGAUUGCAGGAAGACUACCAGGAAGGAUUACUCAUGUGAAAAACUAAAGAAGUAGAAGAUAAAGGUGGAAGCAAAGAUGUUGAAGUGAUUAGGCCUCAGGUUAGGAAUAUUGGUUCAAGAUCAGUGAAAUGGAGUGAGGGAGUCUCCAAGAAAGACAACAGUUGAGCAAGAGAGCAUGUCGCCUGAGUCCACAUUCUCCCUUCAUCUCCUCCGUUCGUGGUUUGCUCCGCUCAUCUCGGCUCAUCUCCGCCGUUCGAAGGUCGGUCCCGUCAAAAUGAAUUUUGGGUUUCCGCUCUCUUUUUCCUAUUUCUUUUCCUUGAACAACACUACUUAGAUAAAAUGGAAGCUAGGAAUGAUGGAGGGAUGUUAAUCCUGAAACUGGUUUGAGCAUUUUUCCAUUGCUCAGAAGCUAGGAAUGAUGGGCAGUGGCUAUGUAUGGAUUGCAACAAUUACUUUUGGCAUGAUGUUCAAGAGGAUAAUAAGAACAUCUUAUGGCAUGAUAUUCAAGAAUGUUAACAACACUAAAGCUAUGAAGAAGAAG